GGGCCAAACCGUGGAUUGAACACGGGACCUCUUGCAGUUGAGUCGGUAACCCAAAGCAAGAAUCAUACCACUAGACCAUUUGGCC
rnacentral:tRNA from 1 species